UACGGGGGGGGCAAGCGUUGUUCGGAAUUACUGGGCGUAAAGGGCACGUAGGCGGCCAACUAAGUCAGACGUGAAAUCCCCAGGCUCAACCUGGGAACUGCGUCUGAUACUGGAUGGCUUGAAUCCGGGAGAGGGAUGCAGAAUUCCAGGUGUAGCGGUGAAAUGCGUAGAUAUCUGGAGGAAUACCGGUGGCGAAGGCGGCAUCCUGGACCGGCAUUGACGCUGAGGAGCGAAAGCCAGGGGAGCAAACGGG
rnacentral:rRNA from 1 species